rnacentral:rRNA from 1 species
CCUACGGGUGGCAGCAGUGAGGAAUAUUGGUCAAUGGACGCAAGUCUGAACCAGCCAUGCCGCGUGCAGGAUGACGGCUCUAUGAGUUGUAAACUGCUUUUGUACGAGGGUAAACCCCGAUACGUGUAUCGGGUUGAAAGUACCGUAUGAAUAAGGAUCGGCUAACUCCGUGCCAGCAGCCGCGGUAAUACGGAGGAUCCGAGCGUUAUCCGGAUUUAUUGGGUUUAAAGGGUGCGUAGGCGGUCAGGUAAGUUAGAGGUGAAAGCUCGAUGCUCAACAUCGAAACUGCCUCUGAUACUGUCUGACUAGAGUGUAGUUGCGGAAGGCGGAAUGUGUGGUGUAGCGGUGAAAUGCUUAGAUAUAACUUAGAACUCCGAUAGCGAAGGCAGCUUACCAGACUGCGACUGACGCUGAAGCACGAGAGCGUGGGUAGCGAACAGGAUUAGAUACCCGAGUAGUC